rnacentral:tRNA from 1 species
GGUGGGGAGGAUCAGUGGUCGAGCACAUGCCUGGCAUGCACAAGGUCCUGGGUUCAAUCCCCAGUACCUCCA